AAAUAUAUAUUUUUGCAGGCUUCAAGAGGAUCAGCGUGUGAAGAUCACUUUAUAAUGAUUUGAAAAAGGUUGCCAUGGCUACAGAAAUUGGAGGAGCAUCCUUAGAUGACACAAUACAACCAGCUGUGCGAUUCCUCAUGUCCCAUGAACUGGAAGUCCAGUUCAACCUUUUUGGCCAACAUUGGAAACAAGCUCUUGGACCUGCGUCUCUUUGAUGUUUUGUAUGGGGACUUAAAAGAAAUUAUCCAUCUACAGAAUCACACAAGCAUACAGCAAAGACUCUCGAAGUGGUUUACUGGAGCCCGAGUGGAAGUGGAAAUAGACUAGAGAGACUGCCAGUUCAAACUCAGGUUGGGGAGGUCUUUCAAGAUGGACAGUUUCAGUAAAGUAUGAGAGAUUUCAAAUUUAAGCAUGCAUAUGGCAUGUAGGUUAUUUUUAAAAAUGUUUAACAAAAAUGUAUUGUGAAAGAUCUAUAUAGGUGUGUAUAUUCACAUUGUGUGUAUCAAUGUGAAUAUACGUGUAUAAAGUUAUAUAGAUAGUAUUUAGAUGUAUACAUUUAUAGACCUGUAGGAAAAUAUGUAGGUGUCUUUAUUUGUGUGCAUCUAUAGAUAUAUAUUUAUAGAUCUGUUUAUAAGUUUGUUAUAGUAAACUAGCUUCUGUUAUUUUCAAAGAUGUCGUGAAUAAUUGCAGAUUUCUUUUUGUGGCACCAUUCCCUGAGUAUUAAUGAAGUUCUAAUAAUUGCUGUAGUGAGGUAAAAAAUAACUCCUGACAAUAUUUUAAAUUACUAAAUAAAAGCCUUGAGCAAAAUAAA